UGCCAGCCGCCGCGGUAAUACGGAGGGUGCAAGCGUUGUUCGGAAUUACUGGGCGUAAAGCGCGCGUAGGCGGCUAUUUAAGUCAGAUGUGAAAGUCCACGGCUCAACCGUGGAAGUGCAUUUGAAACUGGAUGGCUUGAGUACUGGAGGGGGUGGUGGGAUUCCCGGUGUAGAGGUGAAAUUCGUAGAUAUCGGGAGGAAUACCAGUGGCGAAGGCGACUACCUGGACCGAUAUUGACACUGAGGUGCGAAAGCGUGGGGAGCAAACAGGAUUAGAUA
rnacentral:rRNA from 1 species